rnacentral:rRNA from 1 species
UUUGCGGUACAGGAUGGACCCGCGUCUGAUUAGCUAGUUGGUAAGGUAACGGCUUACCAAGGCGACGAUCAGUAGCCGACCUGAGAGGGUGAUCGGCCACAUUGGAACUGAGACACGGCCCAGACUCCUACGGGAGGCAGCAGUGGGGAAUAUUGCACAAUGGGGGAAACCCUGAUGCAGCGACGCCGCGUGAGCGAAGAAGUAUCUCGGUAUGUAAAGCUCUAUCAGCAGGGAAGAAAAUGACGGUACCUGACUAAGAAGCCCCGGCUAACUAC